rnacentral:rRNA from 1 species
AGGGAAUCUUCCGCAAUGGACGAAAGUCUGACGGAGCAACGCCGCGUGAGUGAUGAAGGUUUUCGGAUCGUAAAGCUCUGUUGCCAGGGAAGAACGUCUUCUGGAGUAACUGCCAGGAGAGUGACGGUACCUGAGAAGAAAGCCCCGGCUAACUACGUGCCAGCAGCCGCGGUAAUACGUAGGGGGCAAGCGUUGUCCGGAAUUAUUGGGCGUAAAGCGCGCGCAGGCGGCUGUUUAAGCCUGGUGUUUAAUCCUGGGGCUCAACCCCGGGUCGCACUGGAAACUGGACGGCUUGAGUGCAGAAGAGGAGAGUGGAAUUCCACGUGUAGCGGUGAAAUGCGUAGAGAUGUGGAGGAACACCAGUGGCGAAGGCGGCUCUCUGGUCUGUAACUGACGCUGAGGCGCGAAAGCGUGGGGAGCAAAC